rnacentral:lncRNA from 1 species
GCAAAGACAAGGUUGAGGUCUCUCAUCUCCAAUUUGUAAAUGAUGCUCUAAAUUUUCAACCUUUUAAAAGUUGUGAGCCUCAGCUUGAUUUCUGGACUCAAAGUCAACAUGGGCAAAAGUUUAACAGUAGGAAUUACUUCAGUUGAGGAUAAAGUCAAAAUCAUAGCUAAUAACUUUGGGCUCACAGUGGGAAGUUGAUCUUUGAAGUACUUAGGGUUACCUUUGGGUGAUAAUCCUAGAACUCAAAGUUUUUGGGACCCAAUGGUUGAAAGACUUGAAAAGACAUGGGGCGUUAGAAAAAAGCCAAUUUCUCCAAAAGUGGAACUCUAAUUCACUCCAUACUAUACAGCUGAUUCGGGACAGAAAAGAAAGAAAAAAGAUUAUUGAAAAAAUCUACGCUUGUGCUGUCAUCUCUCCCCGAUUAAUGCAUUCUCAGAUGCUUCAAUUGUCAGUUCUACUAUUGAGAAAAAGCUGGGUUCAUUCUGCAUCACGAGUAAGCCAUUCUUAUUUAUUUUCUUUCUCUUUUCAAAAUUUCAUUUGGAAUUGCAAAAGAAUUGAGAAGAUGAUGGGCGACUUUUGUGGAAAGGUUACGAAAAUGGCAAUGGAUCUCAUCUCAUGAAGUGGGUUAAGGUUGUAAGGCCUAAAACUAGAGGUGAUUUAGGAAAUGGCAAUGUGGAAAAGAAAAAUAGAACUCUCUUAGUAAAAUGGCUUUGGAGGUUUCUCUUGGAGAAGACCUUUCUUUGGCACUCGGUUAUUCGUAACAAGCAUAGAAUUCGUCCAAAUGGAUGGGAUGCAAACAUGGUUAGGAAUGUAGAAGCCCCUAGAAAGCUAAAUCUAAAGAGUACCCAACUUUUCUUAGUUUUGUUGCCUUAGAACUGGGUAAUGGGAAGGCUAUUUGUUUUUGGGAGGAUAAAUGGAGGGAUGAUGUUUGUUAUGUGAGAAAUUUCCCUACUUGCAUAGAUUAUUCCUUUCAAGGAAUAUCUCAAUUUUCUUUAACAUGGCUUUCUCCCCACUCACUAUGAAUUGGAAUUGGCAGUUUGAUUUUAAAAGAAGUUUAAAUGAUAGAGAGGUUGAAGAACUUGCAACGGUAAUGUCAAGUAUUGAAAAUAUCAUCAUUGAUGAAUUGGAGGAAGACUAGAAAAUAGAAGCUGAAAGCCUCUGGACAAUAUAAUUAGAAGUCAUAUUUUGAGAAGCUGUGCAAUGAUGAUUUUACUGAAGAGUUCACCCUAAGAUUCAAGUCUUCUUGUAGGUUUUGGCAUAAGGAAAAUUAAAUUCUGGAGAAGUGUUGCAAAGAAUAUUUCUUCAUUUUUGUCUCUCUCUUUCUUUGUGUAUGAUGUGUGAGAGAAGUGCAGACACUGAGCAACAGAUGCUCGGAGAGUGUGGAUCAUGUCGAUUAUUUGAACCUGUUCUGAGUUAGAGGCAGAAUCAGUAUCUGUCUCUUCGAGUGUUGGAUCAUUAAACCCAUUUAGUUUAUAGAACAGGGUCGACAUGCGUUUGUAAUGAUAAUCCAAAUCUCUUUGUUGGAGCGAACAACACUUCAUUUGUUCCUUCACUGUUUUGUGGCUUCAAAGUUGUAGCAUAUGUUGUGUAAAGAAGUUAAUUUUUUGUGGGUCUUUUCAAGUUCUUGUGAUUCUCUUCUUAUAAAGAAUUCAUUUGCUUUUGGUAGAGGAACAAAGGCUAAAACUCUUUGGAAAUGUGCAGUGGCAGCAUUGUUUUAGGUAAUAUGAGACGAAAGAAAUGUUCGUAUUUUCUAGGGGAAAAGUGUAGAUAAUGCUGCAGAACUAUGGGAUAGAGUACAUUUUCUUACUUCAUUUUGGGCUUCAGUUUCGAAGGAGUUGCAAGAUUCACCCUUUCUCUUCAUACAUCUAAACAAGGAUGGAGUUUGAGAUAGGGAGUUAUAACUGAUUCUAACCUUGUAUAGAGAUGAUUGGGUAUACUUUCAUAUAAAACAGAUAGUGUUUGUUUUCUAAGUGGACAAUUAAUCUACUAUCCGUUUUAACAUCUUCUUUAUUAAUACAUUUAUCAGUUUCUUAUAAAAAAAAUUCUUGACUUCCCAAGAUUUAGGCUUUUUGGAGGAGAGCAUGUUGCACUAGGAUGGAAUAAAGUAAGUGGCUGGUUAACUAGUAGGAAGAAAUUACAUGUCUAGGAUUUUUUCCGAGAUUAUUUUUUUUAAUUACAUAAUUUAUAAAACUUGAAUAAUUAAUUAAUUAAUCUGUUCACGAAAGUAAAAAUUAACAACACAUGGUUUUGAAUUUGUGCAUUAAAUUAUUUCUUAGCAUUAUUACUUGUUUGGGGAAGAAAUGGAAGAAUUAAUGAUAGAACACAACGUGUUAAUAUAGUGUUUGUAAAGUUGCUAAGAGAAGAUUGGGCUAUGCUGGGUAUAUCAAACAAUUAAAAUGGUACACAGAUUUUCCCUACAUUAAAGGCAAAACAGUUGAAGAAAAUGCCUAAAAUAUUAGGCACAUGAGGUGUGAGUUUGAUUUCUUAACUGAUAUUGAGGAAUCAACAGGGAGAUAUUCAGUUGAACAAGUGGAGGCAAUGGCCUGCCACGGCUGCCAACUUAGUUUCAACCUCCAAUAAUAAAAAAAUAGUCCCGAAACCAACUUGACCAUUGAAGUGUGGUCACCAACCAUGCCCACUCCAACUCUAACCUCCUUUUUUCCUUUUGCAGGAUAAAAAUAGCCUUUCAACCCAACUCCAUAUACCUCCUCACCUCUUCCAAAGUUUCUCAAGCUUCUCAUAAAGCUAGAAACAAUCAACACAUCCUAAUCACGCGAGGCACCACUUCACUUUAAAAUAAAUUCAUUGUGUUUAGUUAGGAUUUUUGUUCCUUUUUCUUUCACCCCAAAAUCUAGUUAAAACAUUAUUUAUUAGGCAUCUUUAGCAUAUAAAAACAUUUCUAGUUUUAUUUUGAUAAUUGGUUAUUUAGAGGCUGUAGUAGGACUAUUUAGAAAAAGGAUUUGGUCUAAGACACUUUAUUUACAACUUAUUAGCAUUUUAAAAUGGGUUACAUAUUGUCCUUUAAAUGCCUAUAACUUUAUAUCAUAUAACACUUUUUCCUUUAUAUUAUUUCUAUUAUUUGAACAUUACUUACGAAAUACUCCCUAUCGAAAUCCAUCAAAAUUACAACACUACCCACAUUGUUUUAAGUUGAUUCUUCAUUGUGUUUAUUGCAAGACAACAAGUGAAAAUGGUGAUACUUAGGAUUUUUUGAGACUCUAGAUUUUUGCUUUUACUUUGGAAGCUAAUUUCUUAAGCAUUAUCUUCGAUUUGAAUUUUUUUGUUUAUUUUCUUUACAGCAACCAGUGAAAAUAGGUUGCAUGGCAAGAAUUGCUUAGCAAAGCAUGCUAUCUGUAUGAUUAUAAGCAUUAAGGAUUCACUUUUUGAAGGGCAAGCUUGCUACCUGUGUAUACAUGUUCAAAGUGCCAACACAUAAGAUCUUAUGUAAGCACAAAACAUGGUCUCCAUUUUGCUUUUCGAUUUAUACGUGCUUGGACUAGUUACAUGAUACAAUAUUUCAAUUUUAGAAUUCGCGUAGUACAUUUUCCAUUAUUAGGAGUUAGUUUGAUGUGUGUGUAUUUGAGUAUUUA